UAGAUACCCUGGUAGUCCACGCCGUAAACGAUGGGCACUAGGUGUGGGAGGUGUCGACUCCUCCCGUGCCGACGCUAACGCAUUAAGUGCCCCGCCUGGGGAGUACGGCCGCAAGGCUAAAACUCAAAGGAAUUGACGGGGGCCCGCACAAGCAGCGGAGCAUGUGGUUUAAUUCGACGCAACGCGAAGAACCUUACCUGGGUUUGACAUGUUGGUGACCGGUGUGGAAACACACCUUCCUUCGGGACAC
rnacentral:rRNA from 1 species